rnacentral:antisense_RNA from 1 species
GGAUCGCGGCGGGGCCGCCUCAAGUGUCCGCCGCUCAUCUGCCCCCGCUCCGGGGGA